UGAGAAAUUUGCUGCCUCUACUGAGUAA
rnacentral:piRNA from 1 species